rnacentral:lncRNA from 1 species
CAAAAUGAAUUUCAUAAUUAAAAUAAUUGUUACUUUAAAACUAAACUUUUUAUCACCUAAUACAAAGUAUAUGUACGAGAGAGAGAAUCUUUUCGGUUAACAUCUCGGCAUAAGCUAUAAAAAGUGCUUUUAGCACAAAAAAGCCACCCUAAGUUGCUUAGUUAAGAAUGGUGUUAGAAAUCACAAACAAAAUGUGCAGCUUAUACGAAAACACUGUUGCUUAUUGAUUUUUAUAAGUAUGCAGCUUAUACAAAAACACUGCUGCUUUUUUAUUUUUAUAAGUAUAUUCAGCGCUCAGCGGCAAUGCAGUUGCUGCAAAAUCACUGACAGAUAAUUGCUGCUUGUAGAAGUUGCUUAAGCUAUUAUCUCCCGGUAAGAGGUUGUGAGAUCUUUAAAUCAACUGUGUGAGAAUAGCAUUAGAGAGAUUAUAUUAUAUAUAUAUANAUAUAUAUAUAUAUAUAUAUAUAUAUAUAUAUUUAUAAUUAAUUAUAUGUUAGAGUUGAUAUUUGAAGUAUAUGUAAAUAUUCUUUAACAAAUAAAUACAUAUUUGUUAUCAGUCAUUUUCUAAAUCAUGUAUUGGUGAUUUGUUUCUCCUCUGCAUCAUAAAUUACAGCUUGAAGACUCAACAGUGCUAUGUUCAGCUUUUUUUAAGAGUGAAACAUCAAGUUUCGUUUACCGAGAAAAGUUCACGAAAUCAACCGAAACAAUUUUUAGGGUAAAUGACUUCCAUAGAGAUACUGUGCCAAACUUGAUGGUGUUCAAUUAUUAUAGGGCAAAGUUCUAAUGGACUAACAUAAGGAAAAAAUAUCAAGUGAAGACAGUUGGAUAAACACAAAAAUAUGGAAAUGCAUAAACGAAUGAUAUGUAUUAGACUAAUAGAAUAGAGAAGAAUUUAAACCAUGUUAAAAAAGUUUAAUAGAGUCAAUGCAUUAGAACCAACUCAUUAAAUUAUGUUGUUCUACAAAAUAAUAAAAUUCGAGAUUAAAUUAUGAUCUAUGAAAUUUUUCUGAACUAUGAGAAUAGGAAAUUUUCUUGACAAAAAAGCAACUUAUAUUUUGUAACUCUUUGAUUAAUUAUGAGUAUGUGAUUUUGAGGUUAAAUUAUGAUCUCACUGACAAAGUCUUAGAAAAUUUUCAUUAUCUUGUUAUCUCAUGUUAUGUCUAAUAAUAGAGUUAGGAGGAUUUAUUUUGUUAAAUAUGAGAAUUUUCUGUUAAACAAUAGAGAUAGGGAGAAAUCUUUCUUUUAGGA